CUCAAGCAGGGGUGGGGAAAUUGAAGCCGUGCUUUGUAGGUAUUGCCAGUCCAUUUUACAAUUUUUUUAUUAAUUUAAAUUAUACACUUUAUAUAAAGAUCAAUCUUACUCCUUUACUUUAUUAAACCCGCGCGUCUGUUUUGACGAAUCAUAGACCUUAUACUCCAUGCCGUUAUUAUAUACCAUAGACGUAAUCGUUCCAGUUUACUUCUAGUUGAAUAGGUCACUCGAAAGUUUGCCGGCGAAAUUUUAUGGAAGUUCCUAAUAGUAGUUUGGAGGUUACUGGCCUGUAUUUAAGAAAUAGAAAACGACUCGGGUGCGUUUAUGGUGUGAUAAUGCACGCGGGGAAUGUUGGGAGAAUACGAGAGAAGCGUCACGUUACCAAUGACCCGAGUGCAUUGUCACACCAUAAACGCACGAGACAAGUUUUUCUAUUUCUUUUAUAAUAUAAGUAGAAGAUAUUACAUAGUAAACAAUUUUACUCAAAAGAUCGACUUUGAAAUUCUCCUAACAUUGAAAUUCUCCUAACAAUUCUCCUAAGCAUUCUAAAUAGUUGAUGUUUGGAGGGACAACAAGUUAUAACGAGUGAGCUAUAUAUAUAUUAAAAGAUGCUUUAUUAAAAUUGUUGUGUUUAGGGACUUUAGGAAUGUAGGAAAACUUCCUAGAUGCCAUAUUCGGCAUAUUGUUUAUUUUUUGGCCCUCCAAACAAGCGACUAGACCCAGUCCUCUGCUCGAUUGGGAAAUGGAUGCAUGAUGGAACGCGUUCCAAUUAAGCACGCUUAGCAAAAUGGCAACUUUUAUUCCAUAUCACGUUAUUAUAAUCAACCAAUUAAAUGACCAGAAUUUAAUAAGGUGUUAUUUAAAUCAUACUAAUUAACUCAUACUAAUACUAGAAAAAUGUCUUAAAAACAGUUCGAAUAAGAUGAAAUGAAAGCUAACUCUAAUUUCUAACAUUUCUAAUUUCUAACAUUCAACGACGAUGUGAAACAGUGGUCUAACUUUUCAGGGGCAUGCAGUACAACAUACUGUCUGAACAACUUGUUUAUAUUUUACCUAAUACCCUAGCCUAAUACCAUAAUAGGCGGUUAUUCGGCUGAAAAAUCAAUUUGCAGUAGAUAUUUGUGUGAAUAUGCGCCCUAGCUCCAGGAAGAGGUUUUUCCCCGUGAAAACUCUUUCAUCGUUUAGGCAAAAGUUAUGCAAAUUAGACCACUGUGAAAUACAAAGUUAUAGAUCUAACUAAUGAAAAGUUAAUAUCCAAGUAAUUAAAAACUUUACUAGUUUAAUUAAAAUAGCGCGGAGAUUGAUUGAAAGAAUACCAUGAAGAAAGAAAUAUAAGUGACGCUCAGUAUGAUACUCGAACUGCAUUCUGGGCAAAUGCGGACACAUUUUGUGGCAUCACAUUUAAAAGAACACUCUCCACUUGUACAAUUCUGAGUACAUUUUUGGACUCCAGCGGCACAUGCCAUGGAACAAUCCUUGGUACUACAUGUCUGCAUGCAUGUUGUGGCAUCACAGCUUAAGGAACAACUGUUGUUGGUGCAGGUUUGUUGGCAGGUUUCUGAAUCACACAUCAUUUUUCCAUAACCACUUUGGAUACAAGAUUUAUUAGCUUGGCAUAACAUUUGAUCACAAUUCUCGUCAGUACAACUUUGAGUACAUGUCUUCGUCGCAUUGCAUUUCAGGUGAGAACAUUCCGUACACGUCUGGUAACAGGAUUCAGCUUGGCACGAUAAAUUAGAACAUGCAGUGCUACAAGCUUGGUUACAAUCUUUACUAUCAUAACACGACAACGCGCAAGUCCCUGCCGUACAAGUCUGCGCACAAUCACCGUAACUGCAGGAAAAAUCGCAUGCCGUGUUCGGCGUUACGCAAACUUGUCUACACACAUCUUGACCUGCAGUCGCCGUGCCAUUUGUACAAACAGCUGCAGAAGUGAAAUUAUUACAGCAAAAUAUGACAAGAACCAAUAAUGAAACUCCUGAUGUGUAAUUCAUCU